UCUUCUACCUCAACGCCCCAAACCCAGAAUUUUCAUGUGACUUCUAAUGGGGUGAGGUUCAAUCGCGCGAGUUGGUCUCUCUCCCUUCGACAAUUGCGCGUUGCUCUCUUCUUUCUCUUUUUCUGAUUCGUACAAUCUUCAGAGAAAGGCAGCAUGUACACUGUGCAGACCAAAUGGAACGAUCUCCGCAAUUUGGGCGUCCUUGGCUUAAGAUCGGAUGGCCUUCCUUCGAGUUCCGUUGAGAUAGUUAUCAGAGUUACAUCCGGGCGUCGGAAUCUCUCAAGCUCGUCACUGUCCCACCGCUUCCCACAAGAAGGUAAAAUUCCCUUCUUAGCCUUAUGUUUAGUUCAUAAUGCUUCUUACUAAUUUUGUCUAGUUGCUCUUAAGUAUGCCUAAUAUUUGUUCUUGUAACUUGUUUAUAGAUAGAAGUUUUUCCCAUUCUAGCCAGUGUGAGUCUCUUUUUCGUAAGCUGUUGUUGCCUUAAGUUUAGUCUUGUUAAAUGUUUAAUAUUUGAAGUCCUGAGUUCAUACACUUGCGUGGCUUCGGUUUUUUGGCAUAUCUUCUGCCUAAUGAAUCUCGAAUCGAUCUUAUUAGCGACUUUAUCUAUUGGUUACUUCUCUACUGAUUUAAACAAUCUCGUUAAAGUUAUAACCCGAAUCUUCUUUUGAAUAGUAAUUUGAAUCGAUGUCUUAGUUCAAAUUAAAAUGAUGUUGUUGACUCUCCGUCAUGUCGUUUUUUUUCUUUCGAAUCAGUUUUUUUGUUGUUAAAAGCGUAUUAGUUUGUUGGAGUAUCGUGACUUACCGCUUGGUGACAAUUUCUUUGUUUUGAUAUGAUCAUGAGCAAUUCAAUGGCUUAUAAUAUGAUUUUGUGCAUUUAUGUUAAUGCUUUAUAUUGUAAUCCAUUCAAGCUCGCGUCGUGUUUGUUUGCUUAACCUUUAUAUAUUGCAUCUUCCCUCCUUCUUGUAAAGUUUAAAAACUCUUCGAUUAACUAAUUAAGUAUAUCAUUGCACUAUUAGCUGGCCUAAACAUCGAGCGCUAUUUCUCAUUAUUAAAGCUUUUGUUCACACCCCCAUUUAUGUAUUUUUCAUGUUUCCAGUGGCAUGUCAUAAGUUCUAGCCACUGCUUAGCUCGAUUCCGCUCUAAGUAUCAUUAUCUCUUUCAUGACUUUUUUUUGUGAUCUUAUUAUCGAAUACGGUUAGGGGUCCGUCUCUUUAGUUCAUUUUAAGUCUCAUCAAUGUAGUAGUCCGAUUUCUUUCCAAAAAGUCGUUUACAUGGAUAUAUCUUGUCGCUUAGUUCGGUUAACUAUUUUCAUUCAGGCGUCUGUUAAGUGUAUGGUGUCCCUAUGCUUUUUUAGCUUAAAUUUUGGAAUUAUGUGUUAGUUUAAUAGCUUGGUUUCAAUUUUAAAUCGUGUUAAUCUACUGGAAUUUGCUGCCUGUUCUGUUUUUUUUAUGUAUAUAAAUUCCUCUCGGCCAUCUAUUAGAACUUCACCGGCCCAGUUAAACGAGAGGAGAGUGUGAUUGUCAUUGGCAUGUGGUUUGAAGGUUUUUCAAAUAAAUUUAUGUGUCAGUGUUCUUCUAUUAUCAUUUAGCUUGUUAGAGUUUCUUUAUGAGUGUUAUCUUCAUGUUCAAAGUUUUUUUUCUUUCCUUUGUUCAUUAGGAAAUCACAUACUUACUGUAACUAGUUUCCUUAGCAUAAUUAAUUGCUCUUUUGUCUAAUGAAGACAUAGCUUAAAUGUAGCUUCAGUUGAGCAUUUGUGAUUAAGAUCAAGUUUUCCUAUUUUUGUUUCUUUUUAUGUCAUCACUGCUUCUGUCCUUCCCAAUUUUAUUCAAUAAUUAAUUAUUGUCCCCACAAGUAAAUAUAUCUAAUGUUUAUCAAAUUAAUUGUGAGCAGUGUUCAAGUUUGGGGGGGUUUACUUUUUAUGUAUGAAAUUGAACUUUUGUCUUGCUCUUAGCUUGUUCAUCGAUUUUUAUUAUCUUUUGCCUUAACAAGUUAAAAUAAUCAGAUUAAUCCAUUACAUGUCGUUAUUGUAGAGUUUAAGCUCUGUUUUUCACCUUUCAUUUGAUGAGUCUGGUUAGGCAGCAUGUUCCUCACGAGUCAUGUGCCCGUAUUUUCUUCGAUCUUCUUUAUAUUGAUGACCUAGUUUAGAUAUUAUUUACCUCAUGUAACUAAUUAGGUAAGUUUGUCUCGAGAUUAUUUGGUCUAUGUCAGUUUAAUUGAAUCAUGUUGUAUUUGUUUCUUUCCCUUUUGCCUAAAAAUGCUAAUCCUUAUAUUCUUUCGUUGCAUGUGAAAUUCGUCGGAUUUGGUCGUGAAUUUUACCCCUUUACUCGCAUUUUUAAAAGAGUCAAAAAGUCCCCUAUUUUCAUCGAGUCUCCCAACCGUAAAACCAAAGGAAAGAUCUUGAAAUUCAAAGAAUUGAAGAAAGUCGAAGAAGCCAUAUUGGAAGACUCCAAUUUUUUUUUCGAAUUUAUAUUUAAUUUGUAAUGGGCAUAACCCCUUGUCGUCUUUUACCUUUAUUUAUUUAUUCUGUAUAUUAUAUGCUUAGUCUAGGACAGUUACAGGUGAAGUGGGUCAAAAACCCAAACAAAAUGGGUUAAAAACCUAAAAGACAGGUGGGUCCAAAUUCUGGUCAAGGCGAACAGAACCCGGAUUUGGACCCGAAUCUCUCUUUCCGUU